rnacentral:rRNA from 1 species
ACUCCUGCGGGAGGCAGCAGUGGGGAAUUUUGGACAAUGGGCGAAAGCAUGAUCCAGCAAUGCCGCGUGAGUGAAGAAGGCCUUCGGGUUGUAAAGCUCUUUUGUCAGGGAAGAAACGGUGAAAGCUAAUAUCUUUUGCUAAUGACGGUACCUGAAGAAUAAGCACCGGCUAACUACGUGCCAGCAGCCGCGGUAAUACGUAGGGUGCAAGCGUUAAUCGGAAUUACUGGGCGUAAAGCGUGCGCAGGCGGUUUUGUAAGUCUGAUGUGAAAUCCCCGGGCUCAACCUGGGAAUUGCAUUGGAGACUGCAAGGCUAGAAUCUGGCAGAGGGGGGUAGAAUUCCACGUGUAGCAGUGAAAUGCGUAGAUAUGUGGAGGAACACCGAUGGCGAAGGCAGCCCCCUGGGUCAAGAUUGACGCUCAUGCACGAAAGCGUGGGGAGCAAACAGGAUUAGAAACCCCGGUAGUCCCAUGA